GAUGAACGCUGGCGGCGUGCCUAAUACAUGCAAGUCGAGCGAACGGACGAGAAGCUUGCUUCUCUGAUGUUAGCGGCGGACGGGUGAGUAACACGUGGAUAACCUACCUAUAAGACUGGGAUAACUUCGGGAAACCGGAGCUAAUACCGGAUAAUAUUUUGAACCGCAUGGUUCAAAAGUGAAAGACGGUCUUGCUGUCACUUAUAGAUGGAUCCGCGCUGCAUUAGCUAGUGGGUAAGGUAACGGCUUACCAAGGCAACGAUGCAUAGCCGACCUGAGAGGGUGAUCGGCCACGCUGGAACUGAGACACGGUCCAGACUCCUACGGGAGGCAGCAGUAGGGAAUCUUCCGCAAUGGGCGAAAGCCUGACGGAGCAACGCCGCGUGAGUGAUGAAGGUCUUCGGAUCGUAAAACUCUGUUAUUAGGGAAGAACAUAUGUGUAAGUAACUGUGCACAUCUUGACGGUACCUAAUCAGAAAGCCACGGCUAACUACGUG
rnacentral:rRNA from 1 species